rnacentral:rRNA from 1 species
AUUAUGAGAGUGCCGCACGGGUGCGUAACGCGUGAGCAACCUGCCCAUAUCAGGGGUAUAGCCCGAAGAAAUUCGGAUUAACACCGCAUGAGAUAACAGUUCCGCAUGGGACAGUAAUUAAAUAUCUAUAGGAUAUGGAUGGGCUCGCGUGACAUUAGCUAGUUGGUAGGGUAACGGCUUACCAAGGCUACGAUGUCUAGGGGCUUUGAGAGGAGAAUCCCCCACACUGGUACUGAGACACGGACCAGACUCCUACGGGAGGCAGCAGUAAGGAAUAUUGGUCAAUGGAGGGAACUCUGAACCAGCCAUGCCGCGUGCAGGAUGACUGCCCUAUGGGUUGUAAACUGCUUUUGUCAGGGAAUAAACCUUUCUACGUUUAGGAAGCUGAAUGUACCUGAAGAAUAAGGAUGGGCUAACUCCGUGCCAGCAGCCGCGGUAAUACGGAGGAUCCGAGCGUUAUCCGGAUUUAUUGGGUUUAAAGGGUGCGUAAGCGGCUUAUUAAGUCAGGGGUGAAAUACGGCAGCUCAACUGUCGCAGUGCCUUUGAUACUGAUAAGCUUGAAUGUGGUUGAAGAUGGCGGAAUGAGACAAGUAGCGGUGAAAUGCAUAGAUAUGUCUCAGAACUCCGAUUGCGAAGGCAGCUAUCUAAGCCAUUAUUGACGCUGAUGCACGAAAGCGUGGGGAUCAAACAGGAUUAGAUACCCUGGUAGUCCACGGCUAAACGAUGAUAACUCGAUGUUAGCGAUACACAGUUAGCGUCUUAGCGAAAGCGUUAAAGUUAUCCACCUGGGGAGUACGCCCGCAAGGGUGAAACUCAAAGGAAUUGACGGGGGCCCGCACAAGCGGAGGAGCAUGUGGUUUAAUUCGAUGAUACGCGAGGAACCUUACCCGGGCUUGAAAGUUAGUGAAUGAUCCAGAGACGGAUCAGUCCUUCGGGACACGAAACUAGGUGCUGCAUGGCUGUCGUCAGCUCGUGCCGUGAGGUGUUGGGUUAAGUCCCGCAACGAGCGCAACCCCUAUGUUUAGUUGCCAGCAUGUAAUGAUGGGGACUCUAAACAGACUGCCUGCGUAA